AUGGCUUACUAUUCAGAUCACCAUGGAUAUGCGAGCAAGACAGCAAACAACACGGAAAGUUUUCGAGAACUGAUAAGUAAGAUUUCCGAUCAAUUAGAUGAUAUAGCUCGACAACGAGAAAUAGUUUUUGAGGAUAGGCCUAGCUCUUAUGAUCCUUAUUCUAGAGGCCAUCCUUAUGUUGCUCCUACCUACCAUAUAUGUGGAUUUCAGGGCCAUUUGCCUGCUGAAUGUCAGCGUGGUUACUCUCACCCUCCAGAUUGUUUUGGCAUGAGCUUCGCUCAAGAGCUUAGGUCAUACCAAAACAAUUACUCUAAUGGGUGGCCUAAAAACCCAAAUAUGUCAUAUAGGAGAAAUAACCCUGAGAUCUCACCGUUUGCUUCUAGUAAUCAUAUGCAGGGAUUUAGGUAUGAAGAGGAGAGCAACAACUGUGUACCACAACAAUUUUAUUCACCUCCUACUCAUAUACCUCAACACCAGGAGAUGUUGCCAAUGGAGUUAUAUGGUCCUCCAUUUGGUCAACCAACACCUUCAACACAAGUGCCCACACAAGAUGGUUUUGAUGAUAUAGACAAGCUCACAUUGCUUAGUCUCGAGUUCACUUGGAGUGCCGAAGAUGAUCCAAUUAGGCCGGUGAUACUAGAGGAAAUGAAGAAUAUCAAGAGUGGGAAUGAGCUAGUGGAAGAAGUAAGGAAGAUUGAGAAGAACAUCAACGCUGGCAGUACUAUCUCCUUCCUCCUUGAGCUGAGUGUUGCCGAGAUUCCCCUUUAUACAUGUGAGGUUCCAAUACCGUCACAUCCAGCUGAGCAAGAUAGCAAGAGUCCAGAGGAAGAAAGACCUCAGAUUGAAGAAGAAAUACUUGAAGAAAACGAACAAGAUGAUCCAGAGCUCGAACAACAAAGUGAUAAAGUUGAAGACAUAUCACCUAUUACUCUUGAAGAAGCAAAAGAAGUUGAUGUGAUUGAAGAUGAAGAACCAGAAAUGCAUUUUGCCAUCGUCAUACAGGAGCGUGAUGCAGCAGGUUUAUCUAAUCCUCUAGAUGACAUGCAUCCGUUUAAUUUCUUUGCUACUACCUUGCAUUACAUGAUAUCAUCAAUUAAGAUUGAUUUGAAAACUCAUUGGCUUGGAUAUGAUGAUAUAUACCCUGUUAGUGGCAUUACUCUCAUUUGUGAUGAUCAUAGUUACUUUCUUCGUGCUAGUCCUAUGCUUAAUAGGAUCAACUUGGGAAGAAAGAAGGAAGAAGGAGGGCCAGAGUGA
rnacentral:rRNA from 1 species